UCCGUUUGAUCCCGGCGGAGGCCACUGCUAUCGGAGUUCGAUUAAGCCAUGCGAGUCGAGAGGUGUAAGACCUCGGCAUACUGCUCAGUAACACGUGGACAACCUACCCUGAGGAGGGGGAUAACCCCGGGAAACUGGGGAUAAUACCCCAUAGGCUAUGGAUGCUGGAAUGCUCUGUAGUCGAAAGGUCCGCCGCCUCAGGAUGGGUCUGCGGCCGAUUAGGUUGUUGUUGGGGUAACGGCCCAACAAGCCUGUAAUCGGUACGGGUUGUGGGAGCAAGAGCCCGGAGAUGGAUUCUGAGACACGAAUCCAGGCCCUACGGGGCGCAGCAGGCGCGAAAACUUUACAAUGCGAGCAAUCGUGAUAAGGGAACUCCGAGUGCCCGUAAAAUCGGGCUGUCCGCCAGUGUAAAUAACUGGUGAAGAAAGGGCCGGGCAAGACCGGUGCCAGCCGCCGCGGUAAUACCGGCGGCUCGAGUGGUGGCCACUAUUACUGGGCUUAAAGCGUUCGUAGCUGGUCUGUUAAGUCUCUGGGGAAAUCUUCCGGCUUAACCGGAAGGCGUCUCAGGGAUACUGGCAGACUAGGGACCGGAAGAGGUGAGAGGUACUCCAGGGGUAGGAGUGAAAUCCUGUAAUCCUUGGGGGACCACCUGUGGCGAAGGCGUCUCACCAGGACGGCUCCGACAGUGAGGAACGAAAGCUGGGGGAGCAAACCGGAUUAGAUACCCGGGUAGUCCCAGCUGUAAACGAUGCGCGUUAGGUGUAUCGGUGACCACGAGUCACCGAGGUGCCGAAGAGAAAUCGUGAAACGUGCCGCCUGGGAAGUACGGUCGCAAGGCUGAAACUUAAAGGAAUUGGCGGGGGGGCACCACAACGGGUGGAGCCUGCGGUUUAAUCGGACUCAACGCCGGGAAACUCACCGGACAAGACAGCUGAAUGAUUGCCGGGCUGAAGACUCUGCAUGACUAGCUGAGAGGAGGUGCAUGGCCGUCGUCAGUUCGUACUGUGAAGCAUCCUGUUAAGUCAGGCAACGAGCGAGACCCA
rnacentral:rRNA from 1 species